UGCAGUCGAGCGGAGAUGAGGUGCUUGCACCUUAUCUUAGCGGCGGACGGGUGAGUAAUGCUUAGGAAUCUGCCAUUUAGUGGGGGACAACAUCUCGAAAGGGAUGCUAAUACCGCAUACGUCCUACGGGAGAAAGCAGGGGAUCUUCGGACCUUGCGCUAAAUGAUGAGCCUAAGUCGGAUUAGCUAGUUGGUGGGGUAAAGGCCUACCAAGGCGACGAUCUGUAGCGGGUCUGAGAGGAUGAUCCGCCACACUGGGACUGAGACACGGCCCAGACUCCUACGGGAGGCAGCAGUGGGGAAUAUUGGACAAUGGGCGGAAGCCUGAUCCAGCCAUGCCGCGUGUGUGAAGAAGGCCUUUUGGUUGUAAAGCACUUUAAGCGAGGAGGAGGCUACUUAGAUUAAUACUCUAGGAUAGUGGACGUUACUCGCAGAAUAAGCACCGGCUAACUCUGUGCCAGCAGCCGCGGUAAUACAGAGGGUGCGAGCGUUAAUCGGAUUUACUGGGCGUAAAGCGUGCGUAGGCGGCUGAUUAAGUCGGAUGUGAAAUCCCUGAGCUUAACUUAGGAAUUGCAUUCGAUACUGGUCAGCUAGAGUAUGGGAGAGGAUGGUAGAAUUCCAGGUGUAGCGGUGAAAUGCGUAGAGAUCUGGAGGAAUACCGAUGGCGAAGGCAGCCAUCUGGCCUAAUACUGACGCUGAGGUACGAAAGCAUGGGGAGCAAACAGGAUUAGAUACCCUGGUAGUCCAUGCCGUAAACGAUGUCUACUAGCCGUUGGGGCCUUUGAGGCUUUAGUGGCGCAGCUAACGCGAUAAGUAGACCGCCUGGGGAGUACGGUCGCAAGACUAAAACUCAAAUGAAUUGACGGGGGCCCGCACAAGCGGUGGAGCAUGUGGUUUAAUUCGAUGCAACGCGAAGAACCUUACCUGGCCUUGACAUAGUAAGAACUUUCCAGAGAUGGAUUGGUGCCUUCGGGAACUUACAUACAGGUGCUGCAUGGCUGUCGUCAGCUCGUGUNGNGAGAUGUUGGGUUAAGUCCNNCAA
rnacentral:rRNA from 1 species